GGAAUAAUGAAAGAGCAAAUGAAGUCAAGCAGCGCUUCAUGCAGCCUCCUUCUCCCUCAGAAGAACCUCUGGAAAGUUCAAAGUGUCAAGAAAAUUGUUGCAGAAUUGUGAUAAGACACGACAUUCAAGCAAUGAAGACUUCCAUAACACCGCCUAAAUGCCUUAUUAAUCUAACAUGUGUCAGCAGUGAAAAGAUGAGAGAAGGGAAAAAGAAUGGAAAAAAAGGAGGGGAUGGGAGACAAAGAAGAAAAUCCUGAAAGAGUUAGUGUCCCAGAGAGCUGCAUAAUGAUUAACAAUUCUUUUCUCAAAUGGUUGAAGUGUCAGGGUGGAUGGAACAAGAAGGACCUCAGGAAUAUCAUGACUGUAAUCAGUGUCAUAUCCCUGGUCUUCUGCCUGUUCUUGUUCACCAGCAUGUGAAUGUGCUGAUCAACACCCUCAUAACCUUUGGCAAUUUGGCGAGAUUGGACUCUGCUGAAAGAUUCCACACAAGAUGAGGGUUUGAUACCAUGUGAAUUCUCCCCAGAGUCAGUGAAAUCACAAGAAUGGAAAACAACCAGUGGGUUGUCAAAGGUCAAGGCAGAGGGCCAAGGGGGUCUGAACCAUAAGAAAGGUACCCAAAUAAUUGGUUAUGCCAAAUAAUGGAGCAGAAG